rnacentral:rRNA from 1 species
AUUGAACGCUGGCGGCAGGCUUAACACAUGCAAGUCGAACGAGUGGCGGACGGGUGAGUAAUGUCUGGGAAACUGCCUGGUAGCGGGGGAUAACUACUGGAAACGGUGGCUAAUACCGCAUACUAUCAGAUCUGCCCAUAUGGGAUUAGCUAGUAGGUGGGGUAAAGGCUCACCUAGGCGACGAUCCCUAGCUGGUCUGAGAGGAUGACCAGCCACACUGGAACGGAGACACGGUCCAGACUCCUACGGGAGGCAGCAGUGGGGAAUAUUGGACAAUGGGGGAAAGCCUGAUGCAGCCAUCCCGCGUGUAUGAAGAAGGCCUUCGGGUUGUAAAGCACUUUUAGCGGGGAGGCGUUAUUCGCAGAAGAAGCACCGGCUAACUACGUGCCAGCAGCCGCGGUAAUAC